CUGGCCUAGUUUUCUUUUAUCGUAAUUAAAUGAGGAAGGCAAGGCGUUGCAUUGGUAACAUUGCCAAGGCAUUGGAAGCGGGCAUUUGCUACGAUCCUCCUACGUGUCGUGUGCAAAAUACAAGUCGUGACAGGAAAAGAGCAGCGUUCUGCUCGUUGUUCAUUGUUUCAUCAGUGUGUAACGGAUCUCAAUUGUUGCUGCUGUUCCUGAUUAUAACUGUACAGUACGUACAGUAUUCGUAAAUUGUUCUUGGGGUAUGCUUAAUGUUUUUUAAGUGUACUACAGUGAAGAUUUCAAAAUGGGUUAUAAACGAAAAAAAGUUGUGACUAUGGAGGAGAAAAUACGUGCU
rnacentral:lncRNA from 1 species